CUAGCCCUGGAAGGGCCUCAGGUGUUUCAGACACAGGUACAGCCAGCUCUUGCACAAACCCCUUUCCUGCCAAGCCAGGACUGCAUUUCCAGUCAUGGGCAGGCUUUGCUGCAAAUGAUUACACAGGACUAAACCUAGACAGACCUGAGGAGCAGAAGGCAGAGUCAAGCCAAACCAGAGCCAAGGGGAAGGGAGCCAAGGGGACUUGGCCAUGGGAGCAGACACACAAGCUGCGCCCUGGAGCUGAUCGAGUCCCUCGCAGGAGAGGGCUGGGCAGAGGAACCACGACGGCCAUGCGGAAGCCACACAAGAGCGAUCCAAUGUCUCAUCUCCGCCCUCAAUCAUGGCCUCCGCUGAUGCCAAAGUAAACCCAUUCAGCUUCAGGAGGCUUUUCAGCAAACAAAGCAUAAUUUGUACGACGGAUCUGUGUGUUACAGUAGAGGAUCACGGGCAUUUGAAAUGACACAACUGGAAGCUAAAUCCAACAGCAGGGGAGACCCUUACCAAGGCGAGGUAAGUGGGCUACCCUCGGCCUCCCUUUCCCUGCUGUUGUUUUGGUAGCUGGACAGGGCUAGGGACAGGAAUAUCCUUUCCUUCUGUGGACGGUUUGGGGGUCAUGAGCAAUGCCCUGAGGGAGCCAUUUUCACCAGCCAAGGUAAGAUGGAGCCUCACUUUCCAAUCUUUUCAAUCCUGCCUGCUAAUGACCCUGCCCAUCUCUUUUUUUUUUUUUUUUU
rnacentral:lncRNA from 10 species